UACGGGGGGGCAAGCGUUGUUCGGAAUUACUGGGCGUAAAGGGCUCGUAGGCGGCCAACUAAGUCAGACGGUGAAAUCCCUCGGCUUAACCGGGGAACUGCAUCUGAUACUGGAUGGCUUGAGUUCGGGAGAGGGACGUGCGGAAUUCCAGGUGUAGCGGUGGAAAUGCGUAGAUAUCGGAGGAACACCGGUGGCGAAGGCGGCAGUCCUGGACCGACGACUGACGCUGAGGAGCGAAAGCCAGGGGAGCAAAGCGGG
rnacentral:rRNA from 1 species